rnacentral:rRNA from 1 species
GCUAAACGCGAAGAACCUUACCAAGGCUUGACAUAUACGAGAACGGGCCAGAAAUGGUCAACUCUUUGGACACUCGUAAACAGGUGGUGCAUGGUUGUCGUCAGCUCGUGUCGUGAGAUGUUGGGUUAAGUCCCGCAACGAGCGCAACCCUCGUUCUAUGUUGCCAGCACGUAAUGGUGGGAACUCAUGGGAUACUGCCGGGGUCAACUCGGAGGAAGGUGGGGAUGACGUCAAAUCAUCAUGCCCCUUAUGUCUUGGGCUUCACGCAUGCUACAAUGGCCGGUACAAAGGGCUGCAAUACCGUAAGGUGGAGCGAAUCCCAAAAAGCCGGUCCCAGUUCGGAUUGAGGUCUGCAACUCGACCUCAUGAAGUCGGAGUCGCUAGUAAUCGCAGAUCAGCAACGCUGCGGUGAAUACGUUCCCGGGUCUUGUUCACACCG